rnacentral:ncRNA from 1 species
ACAAUGGAGAGUUUGAUCCUGGCUCAGGAUGAACGCUAGCGGGAGGCCUAACACAUGCAAGCCGAGCGGUAGAGAUCUUUCGGGAUCUUGAGAGCGGCGUACGGGUGCGGAACACGUGUGCAACCUGCCUUUAUCAGGGGGAUAGCCUUUCGAAAGGAAGAUUAAUACCCCAUAAUAUAUUGAGUGGCAUCACUUAAUAUUGAAAACUCCGGUGGAUAGAGAUGGGCACGCGCAAGAUUAGAUAGUUGGUGAGGUAACGGCUCACCAAGUCUGCGAUCUUUAGGGGGCCUGAGAGGGUGAUCCCCCACACUGGUACUGAGACACGGACCAGACUCCUACGGGAGGCAGCAGUGAGGAAUAUUGGACAAUGGGUGGAAGCCUGAUCCAGCCAUCCCGCGUGCAGGAAGACGGCCCUAUGGGUUGUAAACUGCUUUUAUCUGGGGAUAAACCUACUUACGUGUAAGUAGCUGAAGGUACCAGAAGAAUAAGCACCGGCUAACUCCGUGCCAGCAGCCGCGGUAAUACGGAGGGUGCAAGCGUUAUCCGGAUUUAUUGGGUUUAAAGGGUCCGUAGGCGGACUGAUAAGUCAGUGGUGAAAUCCGACAGCUUAACUGUCGAACUGCCAUUGAUACUGCAGGUCUUGAGUGUUGUUGAAGUAGCUGGAAUAAGUAGUGUAGCGGUGAAAUGCAUAGAUAUUACUUAGAACACCAAUUGCGAAGGCAGGUUACUAAGCAACAACUGACGCUGAUGGA